AUACUAUGGUGUGGGCAUUUCCUAAGUAGCGACUUGAAGUGAUCCCAAGCUUCGCAUAAAUUUUCACCUUCGAAUUGGUUAAAAUUAGAAUUAUCAUGCCUCAAUUG
rnacentral:snoRNA from 1 species